rnacentral:rRNA from 2 species
UGCAAGUCGAACGAGUUCUGAUUAUUGAAAGGUGCUUGCAUCUUGAUUUAAUUUUGAACGAGUGGCGGACGGGUGAGUAACACGUGGGUAACCUGCCCUUAAGUGGGGGAUAACAUUUGGAAACAGAUGCUAAUACCGCAUAAAUCCAAGAACCGCAUGGUUCUUGGCUGAAAGAUGGCGUAAGCUAUCGCUUUUGGAUGGACCCGCGGCGUAUUAGCUAGUUGGUGAGGUAACGGCUCACCAAGGCAAUGAUACGUAGCCGAACUGAGAGGUUGAUCGGCCACAUUGGGACUGAGACACGGCCCAAACUCCUACGGGAGGCAGCAGUAGGGAAUCUUCCACAAUGGACGCAAGUCUGAUGGAGCAACGCCGCGUGAGUGAAGAAGGCUUUCGGGUCGUAAAACUCUGUUGUUGGAGAAGAAUGGUCGGCAGAGUAACUGUUGUCGGCGUGACGGUAUCCAACCAGAAAGCCACGGCUAACUACGUGCCAGCAGCCGCGGUAAUACGUAGGUGGCAAGCGUUAUCCGGAUUUAUUGGGCGUAAAGCGAGCGCAGGCGGUUUUUUAAGUCUGAUGUGAAAGCCCUCGGCUUAACCGAGGAAGUGCAUCGGAAACUGGGAAACUUGAGUGCAGAAGAGGACAGUGGAACUCCAUGUGUAGCGGUGAAAUGCGUAGAUAUAUGGAAGAACACCAGUGGCGAAGGCGGCUGUCUGGUCUGUAACUGACGCUGAGGCUCGAAAGCAUGGGUAGCGAACAGGAUUAGAUACCCUGGUAGUCCAUGCCGUAAACGAUGAAUGC